UACGUAGGGUCCGAGCGUUGUCCGGAAUUAUUGGGCGUAAAGGGCUCGUAGGCGGUUCGUCACGUCGGGAGUGAAAACUCGGGGCUUAACCCCGAGCCUGCUUCCGAUACGGGCAGACUGGAGGUAUGCAGGGGAGAACGGAAUUCCUGGUGUAGCGGUGAAAUGCGCAGAUAUCAGGAGGAACACCGGUGGCGAAGGCGGUUCUCUGGGCAUUACCUGACGCUGAGGAGCGAAAGUGUGGGGAGCGAACAGG
rnacentral:rRNA from 1 species